GAUGAAGAACGUAGCGAAAUGCGAUAAGUAAUGUGAAUUGCAGAAUUCCGUGAAUCAUCGAAUCUUUGAACGCACAUUGCGCCCCCUGGUAUUCCGGGGGGCAUGCCUGUCCGAGCGUCAUUACAACCCUCAAGCUCAGCUUGGUGUUGGGCCCCGCCGCCCCGGCGGGCCCUAAAGUCAGUGGCGGUGGCGUCCGGCUCCGAGCGUAGUAAUUCUUCUCGCUCUGGAGGUCCGGUCGUGUGCUCGCCAGCAACCCCCAAUUUUUUUCAGGUUGACCUCGGAUCAGGUAGGGAUACCCGCUGAACUUAAGCAUAUCAAUAAGCGGAGGA
rnacentral:misc_RNA from 1 species